UCCUCACAGGUGACUUUUGAGGCCUGAAGUCAAGCUUUUGUACUGAUUCUCGAGAAAGAGCAAGAUUUUUAGCCCCUACUCACAAGUUUUCUGUUGAGCAUUCCCUUCAGUUCUCUGGCUUUCAAGCUUCAGCUAUUGAAUUUCUAUGCUUGUAUCAGUUGGGCUGCCUCACUCUAUCAGUUCAAGUUACCUUGGGACAAAAGUCAAGAUGAAGCAUUUUUCAGAUGGAAGGUUCAUCAUUCCUAUCCACUUACUGGAAAUAUAGGUGAUCUACUUCUACUUCAAGUAUAAAUAUCCUGGCUUCAGUGGGAAGAUCUCUAUUGAUUCAUUAUCAAGCAAACUGUUCUCCAAGAAAUCAUUGCCAGUUGCUGGUGGGCAGUACAGAUUCAAGGUGAAGGUUACCACAGAGUAUCACCCCUAACUAACAAGGUGCAGAUACCACCACGGGAUGCUGACUGCCACUGAAAAGGGAUGUCUGCAUGGAAAAACUCUCGUCUUAGCUCAAUCAGAACUCCAAUCCUCGAUCCUCCAAAUGACAGAAUAAUUGGAAGCAGAUGAUCCUCUUUCUUCAUGUCAGAAGGCCUAACCUGACGUCACAAAGCCCACAUCAUCCACCUCACUUCCUCUCUUCACGUGGACGUUUGCAUCAGUAUGAGAAGGAUAAGGAACGAAGCACGGAGCCUAGAACCCCUGUUCCUCUUCAUCGCUGGGCUUAGGUCCCAGCAAGGCAGUCAGGCAAAGCAAACAAGCAUGAACAUUCGGCACAAGGAUCCGAGCAGGGAGAAAUGAAACUUCUUAUUUGCAGAAUCCAAAAGAAUCCACAACAUGUGACUAACGUGAAUUAUUAACAAGUUUGCUCAGCACAAUUUAUCUGAUAUACCACUAACAAAAAAGAAAUAACAUUGUAAAACAGAAACCUUCAAACCUAGCAUCAAAAUUAUUAAAUAUCCAGGAAUGAUUCUAACAGAGGAUCAUAUCUAUGUAGAAAACUAUAAAGCUUUUGAUAAUGAAAAUUAAAGAACUAAAUAAAUAAAGUUAUAUUACAUGUUAGUUGAUUAAAAACAAUAUUGUAACGACACCAAUUCUUCUCAAACUGAUCUUCGGAGGACUCAGCAUGUAUUUGGUGACACUUUACAAGAUACUUCAAGAGUUUAAUAGAGAAGAGCUGGCGAUAUUGUUUGGAGGACUUUCACUCUGUUCUUUUUCCUACAAUCUUAUUGACUGACUCUGCGUGAUGGGGGCAAUUUAAUUCUGUGAGUUUUCCUUAAGCUUCAGAUUUUUUCAUUGUCAUCCAGAACAGACUACAUGCUUUGGACAGGAAGACUGCACUGCUCCCAAGAAGCCAUUUCCAAAUUACUCCUAAUAAGCUAAGGAGUACACAUCUACCCUUUGGCUAUAUCUGUCUCUCUCCAACUUGAAGGAGAUUGGUUUGAUUUUCCUGGGUUUAGUGGACUCACUUUUCCCCAGCUGUGUCUGUGAAGCAUAAAGAGCAUUCUCACCAAACUACAAAAAUAAAUUUCUACAGAUAUUUGGA